GUUUUUGUACAUAGAAUGGGUUACAUCUAAUCCAGUUGUUCUACAAAACAGUCCCAUUGGAACCCUCAAUCAAGCCAGGAUAUUUCCAAGGAUACUGUUUGCUCUCUACAAACUGCAGAUGCCUGUUUGUUUUCUACUGAGAAACAGAAAGGAUGUGGAGCCUUUGGGAGAGGAAAAAGACACUGGAAAUCUUGAGGAAGACUCAGGAAUUGUGUGGAGGAAAGACUCAAGAACAUUGUUCAUGUUACUGUUGGACCCACUCCUAUGUGAAAGUGACUUUCAAUUGCUGAUAAAGGCAAAUGAGUUCAGGUGUCUGUCAGUGAAAGGAUGAUUUGGAAGCGCUCUAAAUACAAGUGUUGCUAUCUGAUCUUCAUCAGUCUUUGCUCUGUGAUCGAUGUGAAAAUAUUGACUCUCAACACUCUAUUCAUCUGACAGCUAAUCCAAGAGAACAGAUGGCUACCCCAAGUAUUGCCCCAGUCUUAAAAUUGUUUCAAACAUGAUACUGAUGAGGCCAAAUAAAAGACUUUGC